rnacentral:lncRNA from 1 species
UACAGAAAACGACCUCUGAACUUCUUUGAGAAAAUAUUUUGAAUUUGAUGACGAAGCAGAAUAAACUGAAGUCGAUGAAGGUGAAGUAUAACUCUUCAGAGAAAGUGACUCGCUUGUGCUAGCUGCGAGAUAAGCUGAAGUCGAUGAAGGUGGAGAGUAACUCUUCAAAGAAAGUGACUCGUUCAUGCUUGCUUCUCUCUCCUCCUCUUUGAUGGUUUCCAGCAUCUUUGAGGCUCGGUUUCUCAUGACAUUAACAAACUGUGGUGGUGCUACCUCUGUAACAAACCUAGCAAUACGAGCAUUUGCCAUAUUUUUCGGUAGGUACUCAGAGAAACUUAGAACUAUUGUAGUAGUGUUUGAGGAUAAGGUGUAGACUGUAUGCCUUAAAACCACAAACGAGAUGAUAUUUACAGCGGGGGUUUGAUUAGAUUAUCCCGUUAUGGUCUGGCUUAAAAUGAGCCGGUAGUCUCAAUCGAAGCUUUAAUCAUUUUUAGCUUCUAGUGCAGCAACUUACUUUAAGUAUUAAUUGUACAGACAAAAAUGUCUCCCAUCACGGUCAUCUUAUUGAAGAUACAUCCUCACAGAUGGGACCGCGGAAUGCAAUGUGUCAUUCCAUGAGUAGAAAAACACAACAUAACUUAAAUACGCGGUUUUUGUGUCCAUCGAUAUCUUCCAAUACUGUACUUUACCUCAUUGUGCUGCAACCUGCUGAUUGAAUGCCAUGUGGUCCUUUCUGCAUUUCAUAUCUAACUGAUUCUUUCGUGCAGAUUUCAGUGUAUCGUGUAGUCGGUGGAGGGUCAGCGAGAUUGUGAAAGCUGGACUUGCCAUGAAGGUUCAUUGCCAAAUUCGAGCUUCUUACGCUAUAAUGUGAGAAAAAUUUGAGUGUAUCGACACCCAAGGUAUGUCGAUGGAGACACGUUUGAUAUCGUCGAUAGGAAUAUUCAGUGGCUGUGACUCUACAUUGCUGGUAAAAAUUGCAAAACUGGAGAUCUUCAUCUUGAACUAUGACUAUAAUGGCAGUUAAAAACUUUAACAAUGACAUACACCGGUUUUCGUUAUUUACUGCUCCUCUGAUGUUUGUUACUCGAGCUGAGCGUCUGUGUAUACUCUACCCUCUCCGGACCUUGCUUUAGAUUUUAUUAAUUACAUGCAUGUGGGUAAUAGUUAUAGAGAUUAAUGUUCAGAUAUUUGCAUUUUAUCAUAUUAUUAUCAGAGUUAAUGAUCAAAAUAUGUUUGACCUAUUAUUUUUCCUCAACGACAAAAACAUAUCCAGUGUAUUUUCACAAAGUGGGGUCUGGGGAGGAUAAAGUGUAAGUAGUCCAUAUCACCACCUCUGUGGAAGUAGAGGGGUUGUUUUUUAUUACUCUUGGCUCAAGACAAAAAGACAGUAAAAACAGUCGUAAUAAAACAUGAAAUAACAUAAAUAAGACACUCACUAGGCAGAACUAUACGCUAUCAAAUUGAAAGCACAAACCUCAACCAAAAUCUCUUAACUAAAACUUCUAAGCUAUGUGCAAACCUAUGCUAUUACUAGCAAGGCUACACCGAAGAACAUUUAUCUAUUGGCUACGACUCGCCUACACGCACUACUAGCCUCUAACUUAAUUUGGGUCCUUCAUACCUUCCUAUCUAGGGUUAUAUUCUCAGUAAGCUAUAAUUGACUCAAACGCUAUGAUUAUAAAAAAUGAUACUUCAAUUGUUAUGUGAUUCGAUUUGUUAUCCGAUAUUUGUAUUUGUGGGAGGUAGCAUGUAGGAUUAUUCGAUAUGUACGCAAGUUGACUCAUGUGCUACGGUUAUGGAAAAUGAUGCUUGAAUUGUUAUGCGAUUGGAAAUCACAAGUUAUACUUUUGUUGUACGAUAAUUAUACGUAAAACUUAUAUAAAUCACAAGAAGUUUACCCCUAAUUACUUUUUAUUCUUACUUUUUGCUAAUUAUAAAUAAUUUCUUAUAUAUUAGAAUUUUCGGAUACAUAAUUUUGAACUUAAGAAUGUAACAAUUAAUUCUCUAUGUUUGUUUGGAUACAUAAUUUUGAUUAUUGAGAUACAUCUAUUUUUAAAACUAUUUAAUCGUAAUUAUAUAUUCGAAAGUUUAUGAAUUUAUGAAUGUAUCCAACCGUUUUGUUAAUUUUUUUUUUUUAGAUAAUUCAUAAAAAUGAUAGUAUUUUUAUGUAGUUUGAUAAAAAUGUAAGCGGUGUAAUGUAAUCUUUUCUUACUUUGAAUUUUAUGAGGGUCAAACAACAUUGUAUAAUAUACUUUAAAUUUUAUAUGAAGAUAUUAAAUUAUUUUUAUAAUUCAAACAAAAUGGAUAAGACUAGAAGCAAUUGGGCACUACAAGUCACGUUCAUGACUCAAUAAAUCACGUGAAAUUAUUAACAUGACAACAACAUUUGAAAGGUGUUGACAACAAUGACUUUUUUUUUUUAUUCGGUGUUCGAUAUUCGCAUUGGAGUCCGACUAAUUUGAAUUUGCCGGGUAGGGCCUCAUUUAGGGGGUAGCGCUCCCAACAAAGUUUUUCUUCAUGCCCAGGGUCGAACCCUCGACCUCUAGUUAAGGGUAGAGCAGUCUCAUCGGCUGCACCACAACCCAUGUUGGUCCCUUUGAGUUCGUUUGAUUGGAAAAUCAUCUUAUUUCAGAAUUAUUUAUUUAGUGAUUAUUAUUAUAUUAUUUAUGUGGAAUAAAAAUAAUGUUACAUUUUAUUACGUGAUUUUAUUCAAAUCAAACAUCAUCUUAAAGUUUCUUUUGAGAUUAAUUAUUUUUUAUCUCUUUUAUCAAACAAAUUAUCACGAUUGCAAUUACUCACUGAUAUAUACAUUCGAUAACUCUUCCGCUUAUCAAAAUUGUUGCUUCUAUUGAUUUGGGACCUUUUACAAUAUGUAUAAGCUCAUAAAACCAAAUUAUCACCUCAAAUUAACAUUUUUAAAACUAAUAAAUUUUUUUGAAACAUCAAACAUAAGUAUUAAAUACUAAAUCUAGCAUCAUCAAUGAUAUACACAUAUAGAAACUUUAUAUAUUUAAUAUCAUAUUAGAUUUGUAAUUACUCAUAUUGAUUUGGUAUGUUCAAAAGCUCUUUCUUAACACGAAAAAUAUUAGAUAAUUCUUCUCAUAUAUCCUGUUAUCAUUUAUGAAUAGAGUUACCUGAUAUAUGUUGCUUGUGGAAAGUGACAGGUAUCUCAUGGAAUUACUCGAUGGGUAGACGGUCACAAAAAGAAGUGCAAACAACAUAAAUUUCGACCGUUUGAAGUUUAAUUGUAGAAAAUUUUAAUAUUUUGCAUAAUUAUUGAAAUCUCGAUUUUCGAUCUGUCGAUAUAAAUAAAUAGCUCCCGAUGCAUCCAAAGAAGAUAAAUAUUUUCCUUUGAAAAAAUACACAAUCGAUUUUCCAUACAUCUUUCUUUCGAUCUUUGGUCAGUUGAGAUACAUACUACAUCCAAUGAAGAUACAUUUUUUCUUUGUAAAGAUACAUAAUUAGCUCUCGAUACAUUUUUUCGAUUUGAGGUCCGGUGAGAUACAUAAGUAGCUCCCGAUAUAUCCAAAGAAGAUACAUUUUUAUCUUUGAAAAAAUACAUAUUAGUUCCCGGUAUAAUUUUUCAAUCUCGGGUUUAUCGAAAUACAUCAUACAUCCAAUGAAGAUACAUUUUUCCUUUAUAAAGAUACAUAAUUAGCUCUCACUAUGUUUUUCCAAUUUGAUGUCCGUCGAGAUACAUAAUUUGCUCUCGAUACAUUUAAUGAAGAUACAUAAUUUAAUUGAGAUUCUUGUAAUUAUUUUGUAAGGAUGGAGAUUUGUGUAUAUAUAUAAUAAGUUAAGAUGUAUGUUUAUGUUAUUUUUAUAUAAAAGCAACAAAAAACUAUAACAAAAUUUUGGGCUUCAAUUGGACUUGGGCCUUUCUUUACAAUAAAUUUUGGGCUGCUAUUGGGAUUGGACCUUUCUUUACAAUAUUCUAAAGCCCAUAUAAUAAAUUUCUCCCAAUUUUCUCGAUUAGUCAUUUGAAUUAGUCAGAAGUGCAGAAGCUGAUGGGGACAAUUUUUUAUUUUUUUUUGGCACAAUUUUUUAUGUAAUUGGCUCAUUUUUCGAGGUUUGCAUAGUGAAUUUACACGUACAUUUGAAUUAAUCGAGUUGCACGUAAGUUGAUAGGGACACUACGGUUAUGUAAAAAAAAGGAAUUAUGCAUGCAUUGAAUUAGUCAGAAGUGCGUGUAAGCUGAUGGGGACAAUUUUUUGUUUUCUAGCACAAUUUUUGAUGUAAUUGACUCAUUUUUCGAGGUUUGUGUAGUGAAAUUACGCGUACAUUUGAUGGUUAUGAAAAAAAUAGAAUUAUGCAUGCAUUUGAAUUAGUCGGAAGUGUGCAUAAGUUGAUGGGGACAAUUUACUUUUUUUUCCUUGGCACAAUAUUUGCACGCAAUUGCCUCAUUUUUCAAGGUAUGUGUAGCGAAAUUAGGCAUACAUUUGAAUUAGUUGAGGUGCGUAAGCUGAUGGGGACAAUUUUUUUUUUCUUGGCACAAUUUUUCUAAAUUUUUAAUAGUAAACUCUAUAAUUUCAACUCACUUGAAAUAAUAAUGAACAUUGUGAAAUAUAUUUUUAAAAUAAUAUCUAAAAAAUAAUAAUGAUAAAAAAGAGAAAAAAUUAUCUCAUUUUUACAACAAAUAUUUUAGAACUUUGAACUAAACAAUUCAAACUUUAUAUUAAUAAAUAAAGUAUUAACAACAACAUCCAAGUUAAUAAAUUGCAAACAAAUGACUAACAUCUUAUUAAAAAAAAUUAAUCCUUACAUUUAUUAAUAAUCAUUUUAAUAUGGGAAGUUAAAUGUUAAGUGUCUUCUAAAAAUACUACAUCAAAAUAAUUACUAUGCAAGAAUAAAUAAGACAACUCUAAAUUAUUAGAGUAGUAUUUUUUAUGUAUAUUUAUAUAUGCAAGACCUCUAUUAAAAAUUGCUUUAGGCCAUUAAUUUUAUUGAGACGUCUGUAUCUCUGAUUACGCAACACAUGAAGAUGGCAAGAAUGGUGGUGGAAGUGGGAUCCACUAGUACAAAUUAACAAUGGAGAGAGGUCAAAUUUAGAUGUGUGAUAGGAGUCCGACAUUAAAUGAAAUAAGAUUAACCGAGAAAAAAUACAGGGAGGGGUUUGUUGUGAUUUGGAGGAAAGCAUCGGUUUGAACAAUAGGAAUAACGGUUGGGCACAAGAUUAGUUAGCGUUAUAUUCUACGAAAGAGAAGCAAUAGUUUUUUUCAAGGUAAAGUUGCUCAAUUGUUUGUUUUAGUAUGAAUGCUACUUCUCGCAUUCUGCUGUGAUUAAAUGUAUUUAAAUUCACUGUGUUGUAGUGUGUCUUGUAUUGCUCUUCCUUAAUGCCUGUUUUGAAUAACAUAUAUUAUUUAUGUAUAAAUAGAAACAGAACACGAAUAUGCAUAAAAAUUUCAUAGCCGUACGGACGCAACUUUGGUAAUAUUUACAAAAAGUUGCACUGAUAGUCCGAAGGAGGAAUUUUCAUCGUCCAACAGAGUUUACAUAGAGUCAAUAUUUACCUAGUCUCAGCAACGCUCGGACUCUGUCCAAAGCUUUGCGGACUUUCUUAGAACGAGAGAAAAUUUGUUGAAGGAAAAUAACAAGGAAUCAGUAGACUGGUCAAGAAAUUGAAAAAUUAAAGUACUCUUAGCAAGCUAAAGUCAUAUACUUUAGCUGCCAAAUACAGAAAAAGACCUCUGAAUUUGUUUGAGAAAAUAUUUAGAACUUUUUGCAUUUGAUGAUGAAGCAGAAUAAGCUGAAGUCGAUGAAGGUUGAGAAUAACUCUUCAGAGAAAGUGACUCGCUUGUGAUAGCUUCUCUUUCCUCCUCUUUGAUGGUUUCUAGCAUCUUUGAGGCUCGGUUUCUCAUGACAUUUACGAAUUGUGGUGGCGCUACCUCUGUAACAAACCUAGCAAUACGAGCAUUUGCCAUCUUCUUUAGGUUUUGAUAGAGACUGCCGUUGAGGGAAAGGUCCAAGAUGCUUGGUAGAACUGUAGUAGUGUUUGAGAAGGUGGGUUCUAUGACUUAAAAACCUCAAAAGUGAUGAGAUUUAUAGGGUAGUGGAUUAACUUAUCCCUAUAUGGUCUGGCUUAAAUUAAGUCAGUCGUGCUUUAAAUAUUUUUAGCUGUUAGUGCCGCCACUUACUUUUAGUCUUAAUUGAACAACAUGACUGUAUUUGUUACCAUUGAAAGCUUCCAAAUUUGAACUUUUCCUUGUUGAGCUGGAACCCGCUGAUUGAAUGCCACGUGCCCUUUCUGCAUUUAGUGAUUCACAGCAUAUGAACAAUUAUUGUGAUAGUUGUGUGCACGUAACGGACAGUUACACACUUGUACUAGAGGCAUUUUCCAGAGACUUGUUUAUUGCCUGCAGAAUAUUUAUAAAAUCUAUAUUUCAGAUAUUACUUAUGACCAUCGUAACAUAAUGUUAUCAUCCAAGUCUUAAAUUGUUUGUAUGAAGAAUCUUUAGUGAAUGUCAUGUUAACCUUAAUCAUACAGUUCGACUCGUGCUGCUCAGGCUUUUACUAUGGUCACUUAGUAAACGUGUAACUGGUAAAUUUAGGAAGCUGAUAGAUCCAUGUUGGUUCAUGGAAGAAGGUAAGAGAGUGAGUUAGUUGCAUCUGAACAGUCUCUAAUAUAUGUGAUAAUACACUAAUGCGCAGAACAACAGGUAUGGGAAUGGCUGUGGCUGUAAAGAUGAGAGGGUGACUCCCAAGAGAGUCGAAAGAAUGAUACCAAAAGAAGGAAUAAGUACAAGGGGUUAUAAUGGUUGUAUCUCGUGAACCAGACAACGGUACCAAGGAAGAGGAAUCUGGCCGAAAUCGGGGAAAGAGAAGGAGGAGAAAGGAUUUUAACCUUAAUAAUACAUAUUUUAGCAGAUUAACAAAAAUAAUACAAAACUUUAAAUAAUAUCAAAAACAGACCAAACUCAUUUGCCAGUAAUGUUUUUGACAUUUGGUUCUGAAAAAUGACUGAUCAGGAUAUAUUCAUCUUUCCCAAAAUGAUAAAUAAUUAUAUGAAUAUUGAUUUUGUCAGAAAAAAUUCUCAAAUUUGUGGUAAACAAGGAAAAUAAUCUGAUUAUCGCUGCUGUUGCUAGUUGUGGAGGCGAAAGCUAUGUGAUUCUGUUAGCUGUGUUAUUUCUUUUCUCUGUAGAUAGGUGAAGUUGAAAGGUAAGAAAAAGAGGAAAAUGUGCUAUCAAUGGAAGUGGAAUUCACUACUACAAAUUAACAAUGGGGAUCUGUAAUAUUUAGAUAUUGUGUGGUCCCGACAUUAAAUGAAACAAGAUUGCGGCACAGGUAAUAGACACAACUCGGAAAAUAAAAUGUAACUCAGGAAUCAGGAUUACAUAAAGUUUUAUUAAUGCUGCUAAAAAAAAGUGACACUCUGUGUCUUUGAAAUUUUUAGCUGGAUGGUAAAACGUUACCGCAGAGUAUGUUUAUGCAUUGUAAUUUUCACAAACGCUGUAUUAUAUAAAUUAAAAAUUCGGAGGAGGGUGAAUUCAUGAUAGCAAAGAAAUAGAGGUCGGAGUAGAGAGGAAAGAACUUUUUAUGGAAGGAAGAAUAAGCCUCAAAAGGGUAGACUUGGGGAGGAUACGGAAGCGGAGAAAAACUAAAAAUGGAAAAAUACAGGGAGGGUUUCUUCUGGUUUGGAGGAAAGCACCAGUUUGAAUAGGAAGAACUGCUGGGCACAAGAUUAGUUAACGUUAUGUUCUAAGAAAGGGGAGCAAUAGGUUUUUUCAAGGUAAAGUUGUUCAAUUGUUUGUUUCAGUAUGAAUGCUACUUCUCCCAUUCUGCUGUGAUUAGAUGUAUUCAAAUUCACUGUGCCGUAUUGUGUUAGCAUAUGAUUGUGUUGCCCUUCCUUAAUGCCUGUUUUGUAGAAUAACAUAUGUAAAAAGAAACAGAAACCAAAUGUACAUAACAAUUUCAUCGCCGUACUGAAGUAACUUUUGUAAUAUUUACAGAAAAUUGCAUGAUAGUCCGAAGGAGGAAUUUUCAUCAUCCACAGAGUUUACAUAGAGUCAAUAUUUAUCUAGUCUCAGCAAAGCUUGACUCCGUCCAAAGCUUUGCGGACUUUCUUAUUGAGAACGAUAGAGAAUUUGCUGAAGGAAAAUAACAAGGUAAAGUUAAGAAAUUGAAAAAUAAAAAGCGUGCUUAGCAAGCUAAAGUUACAUACUUUAGCUGCCAAAUACAGAAAAAGACCUCUGAACUUCUUUGAGAAAAUAUUUAGAACUUUUUGCAUUUGAUGAUGAAGUGGAAUAAGCUGAAGUCGAUGAAGGUGAAGUGUAACUCUUCAGAGAAAUUGACUCUCUUGUGCUAGCUGCGAGAUAAGCUGAAGUCGAUGAAGGUGUAGAGUAACUCUUCAGAGAAAGUGACUCGCUCAUGCUUGCUUCUCUCUCCUCCUCUUUGAUGGUUUCCAGCAUCUUUGAGGCUCGGUUUCUCAUGACAUUAACAAACUGUGGUGGUGCUACCUCUGUAACAAACCUAGCAAUACGAGCAUUUGCCAUAUUUUUCG